GACGACAGUUACGCAAGGCGACAACUUCCUACGUACAGUCCGCUUCCAUUCCGUUCCUCCGACUGCAGCGGCAACGCGGAACCACACACCGCGAACCAUUCUCGUGAUAACGACUGUGAGUCCCCGUCCCUACUUCGUUUCGCGAAAAAAAACCCGGUGCAGUGAAGAUUUUUCGUCGCGUUUCAACCCUUAGUGAACGUGCUUUUUUUCUCGUACAUCCACACUCAAGUCCGUUCUACUUCCUGCCACGUUGCCUGGCCUUGACUUCAGCUGACGACGAACGGAGAGGAUACCGUGAAAUAAUUCAAUCGGUUCGUGGCGCUAGGAGUGUUCUUGCUGAGUCUAGUAAGGAUCCCUUCUUGUACGAGCUCACCGAUCA
rnacentral:lncRNA from 1 species